AUGGUGGCUCACGCCUGUAAUCCCAGCACUUUGGGAGGCCAAGACAGGGAGAUCACUCGAGCUGAGAAGUUUGAGACCAACCUGGCCAACAUGGUAAAACCCUGUUUCUACAAAAAA